AAACUUUCAACAACGGAUCUCUUGGCUCUAGCAUCGAUGAAGAACGCAGCGAAAUGCGAUAAGUAAUGUGAAUUGCAAAAUUCAGUGAAUCAUCGAAUCUUUGAACGCACAUUGCGCCUGGCAGUAUUCUGCCAGGCAUGCCUGUCCGAGCGUCAUUU
rnacentral:rRNA from 1 species